GGGGACGACAGGAAUCGACAGUUAUGUUAGUGUUUCGGUCGCGAGUCGAGGCGACAUCUACCUCGUUAAUAAGGUGUCAAAAAAAAUAUUAACUGGCGAACGAAAAGUCGCCCUCGCCGCCUAACCGCGGUGACGUAGCUUUUGGACUCUCUCUGACGGUCUAGAAUGCUGCGACAUAUUGUCGGAGUGCUCUUCUCAAUCUGUAUCCUACAGGCCGUGAAGUCAAGAUUAAUUAGGAUCGGUUAAUGUCAGCUAGGACAUCAGAGACCAUUAACAUGAACUAACUGAUGACUACACUCGUAGACGCUGCCUCACGGCAUAGUCUGGACGGGGAGUUCGAUUCUCCCCCGUCUCCACCA
rnacentral:tmRNA from 1 species